rnacentral:lncRNA from 1 species
AUUAUUCUGAACAUCCAAAUGAGCUAAUUCUCUUUCAAUGCAACUGCAGUAGAGCUGUAUGAGUAGCAACAAUGUUCUGAAUUAUAAUGGUUGGCUAUUCUUGGACAAGGAUAUGAAUAUAGGGUGUCUCUCAUGUAGCGAAUGUGUACUUGAAAAUGACAUUCAUGCCGAGAUUCUUCAACUAUAAAUGACAUUGUUGUUCAGCCUUUAUCUCUACUGGAUCAUGGCUAUUUGUCACAUAUGUACUUGGCCAAACAUGAAGGAAGCAGAUUAUGGGGAGAAGUUAACAGUGGAUUUAUUGGAGUGGGCAAUUACUCACCACUUGGGAACUUUGAUUGGAAUUGGGUUCUUUAAAGGAAUUGGAAGUUUAGGUAGAUUUGAU